rnacentral:piRNA from 1 species
UGCCUUCUAGAUCACUUCUCACAAUGUCCC